rnacentral:sRNA from 1 species
CAUGGCGCCGGCGUCGCGGUUGCUCGCGCUCUGGGCCCUGGCGGCUGUGGCUGUACCCGGCUCCGGGGCGGAGGGCGACGGCGGGUGGUGAGCGGCCCGGGAGGGGCCGGGCGGUGGGUCACGUGCGGCGGGCGGGGCGCGGGCUGACCCAGCUGUGCCCGCAGGCGCCCGGGCGGGCCGGGGGCCGUGGCGGAGGAGGAGCGCUGCACGGUGGAGCGUCGGGCCGACCUCACCUACGCGGAGUUCGUGCAGCAGUACGUGCGCCCCUGAUCGCGGAGGUCGCGUCCUGUUCACCGGCCCGUCUGCCCCGACCGCCCAAGGCCGCCUUCCCCUGACCUCGCGCGCACGCGUGGGGCUGGGGCGGCGAGGGUGGCGGUCCGGCCUGGCCGCGACUCUGCCCUUCUUUCCAGGUACGCCUUCGUCAGGCCCGUCAUCCUGCAGGGACUCACGGACAACUCGGUGAGCGCGUGCCCGUCCGUCCCCGGCCACUCUCGCCCGUGCUGGGCCCGGCCACUAAGUCCCCUCCCCGCCCCCGCAGAGGUUCCGGGCCCUGUGCUCCCGCGAAAGGUUGCUGGCUUCGUUUGGGGACAGAGUGGUCCGGCUGAGCACCGCCAACACCUACUCCUACCACAAAGUGGACUUGCCCUUCCAGGAGUAUGUGGAGCAGCUGCUGCACCCCCAGGACCCCACCUCCCUGGGCAAUGGUGAGUCAGCCCUAGGCGGCGGUAGGGGGUGGGGACGCUUGGAGUCUCCAGGUGCCAGGAUCCCUGUCCCCACCGUCUCUGUUGGCAGACACCCUGUACUUCUUCGGGGACAACAACUUCACCGAGUGGGCCUCUCUCUUUCGGCACUACUCCCCACCCCCAUUUGGCCUGCUGGGAACCGCUCCAGCUUACAGCUUUGGAAUCGCAGGAGCUGGCUCGGGGGUGCCCUUCCACUGGCAUGGGCCCGGGUACUCAGAAGUGAUCUACGGUCGUAAGGUCAGCACGGGGUGGGGGUUGAGGCUUGGGGCUCGCUGACCAAAACGGGCAAGGGUGACACUGCUGCUCAUGCCCCCAGCGCUGGUUCCUUUACCCACCUGAGAAGACGCCAGAGUUCCACCCCAACAAGACCACGCUGGCCUGGCUCCGGGACACAUACCCAGCCCUGCCACCGUCUGCACGGCCCCUGGAGUGUACCAUCUGGGCUGGUGAGGUCAGUGGCUGGCAGGAGAGGGCCAGGCCAGGCUAGAGGCCCGCAGCUAAUCUCUGCUGCACCCCCUUCCUCCACCAGGUGCUGUACUUCCCCGACCGCUGGUGGCAUGCUACGCUCAACCUUGACACCAGCGUCUUCAUCUCCACCUUCCUCGGCUAGCCAAAACAGCUGGCAGGACUACCUGUCACACACCAGCAUGUCCCACCUCGUGCUCACGGAUUUUAUUACACAGAUAGUGGCGGCAGUGGCCUCAGCCCAGCCCACCCUCACCUGCUUUUCCAGCCCACAAAGGGGGACGAUCACGGCCCAGCAAAAGCGAUGCUGAGAGAGGGAACAGUCCAGAGUCCAACAGCAGAACUUACUUGGGGGAAGGGGUCGGGGUGGCCAAGAAACAUAAACUAUGUAUAGGGGCCAGGGGCUUCUGCCCAGGGCUCCCCUGGACCAGGAUGCCAGGUAGGGCAGGGAACCUCAGUAGUCCUCCACCCAGCCAUUCUCAGAGAUGAAUGCGUCAAUAACCUCCUUCAUAGCCAAGUUGGGGAUGAGCUGCUCCUG